CUGAUUUGUGAUAAUAACAACAAACCACGAGAAGAACAAGAAAAAACAGUAGAAUUAUUCGUUCAAUUUCAACAACCAAAAGGAUUCGGAAAAAACGCAGAUCUGCAUCCUUUGCCUAGGCUGGCCAACGAUAGCCUUGAAGUCAGGUACAUAGGUCAAGGAUUUUCCAAGAAUAUGCCGCUAUCGGAGGUUAGUUUUUCUCCGGCAACCCACCGGAAAAACCGUGUGUGCCGUCUUACUGGUUGUCGUCGCUGCUGCGUAACUGUGGCUGUGCACCGGAAGGUGAUUUGUGCACCAGAAGACCAGGAGAAACAACGGGUGUCGAAGGUGCUGCAAAAUUGUCCAAUCCCCCAAAGAUAAUCUAUUGCUUAAUUCUACGAGGUAAUCCGGAUUACAAUUUGUGUCAAUAAGUGAGUGAUAUAAAUUAUGGUUAUCAAUAAAAAGUGAUUCGCA